AGUCUGUCAUCUCGGUGCCGGUCAUCGAGCAAGUAAACCACCAAAAAAUUCCUCCAUGCAAGCAUACAUGCGAACACAGUCCGGAAAUCAUGUCCUCAGAUACCAUCCGAGUUGGGUUCCUCGGAGCCUCAACGAUCGCGCACAAGGUGUGGGCGGCCAUCGAAGCGGCUGGAAACAUGCAGGUCACACUCGUAGGCAGUCGAUCCGUGAAGGUGGCGCAGAAAUUCAUUGAUGAGUGCACCGAGAGCCUUCAUAUCAGCGAAGAACGCAAGGCUGCAGCGGCCACCUACGACGAGGUUGUCGGUAGCUCUAACGUUGACGUUGUGUACAUGUCCAUUCCUGUCACCACCAGGCACGAGUGGGUGAUGAAGUGCGCUGAGAACAAUAAGCACGUUGUUGGCGAGAAGCCCCCAGCUUCUACGCCGGCGCAGCUGCAGUCGUGGAUUGAAGCACUCAGCGCGAAGGGCCUGCUAUACAUGGAUGGAACGAUGUUCUCUCACGGACCGUACGUUAAGAAAGUGGUCGAGCUCCUCCCCGAGAUCGGCGACAUUCGUCGCAUGACGUUUAUCUUUUCUUUUCGCGCCUCGCCGGAGAGGCUGCAGAGUGAUAUCCGCUGCAACCCAAAUCUAGAGCCGCUCGGCGCGCUCGGUGACAUUGGCUGGUAUGGCAUCCGCUCCUUUCUACACAUGGUCGACUUUACCAUGCCCACCACUGUUGCCGGUCGUAUUCUCGAGGAACUGCCGAACGGUGCUGUUACCUCCUUCAAAGGAGAGCUCACUUUCCCUGGUGCCACGCCGGACACAAGCAUCUACGCAUACUUCUACUGCAGCUUCUUGAGCUCACUCCAGCAAAGCUUUAUUGUUUCGGGGACGAAAGGACGCAUUGUUGCCGAGCAGCUGACGAGCCCGCUCACUGAUGCCGGAGCGGCGUGCUUUAAGAUUGUGAAGCCCACGUUUUCCGGACCUGAUCCAAGUACGGACGUCACCGUUGAGCAAACCGUGACAAAUGUCCAGGUUCCCGAGGAAACAGGACAUAUGCAGGAGACGCAGAUGUGGCGUGAUGUUCGCGACUGUCUCAAGAAGGACGAAAGCGGCCGGCUGAUUGCCGAAGAGGAUGCCGUGCGCGAGUGGGCCCGCAAGUCAUGGAUGACGCACUGCAUCGCGGCCAAAUUGAUGGAGUCCGCACGCUCGUAGCUGCAUCAGCUCUGUUGCCCUUGUGUGGCAAUAUGAGAAAUGUGGUCAUGCUGCGUGGCUUGACAGUGUUUUACAGCAGGCAGAGCGGUGCUUUCUGGGCACUCCUCACCCCUCGUUGAAAAUAUUCGGCGCUGUACACGCGCACAUCGGCACUGAAGGUAUCGUAUAUGUUUGUUUCUCAAGUGUCUCUCGAGUGAAUUUCACGAAAAACGCUCAUGAAAAGCGUAUACGAGCCUACUGCUCUUUACUUCUUCGGUACUUUGGUUUAGCACCUACUGAACUACCCCUUAUGAAUCUUUCCUUGUCUCAUUGCUUUCUCUCUCAGCUGUUAUUCCCAUCACGUGUAUUGUAGAACCUCAGUGCUACAGAAAAAAAAAAGACAUGAAAAGGAAAAGAGCUGUACCAGUAUUUCCCUGAGUAGGAUCGUCGUGCGCAAUGCUCUCUGCAGUCACUGAUUCACGAAUCCGACUUUACCCAACCCUGCCACGUGCACUGAGUAGA
rnacentral:misc_RNA from 1 species